rnacentral:rRNA from 1 species
AUUGAACGCUGGCGGCAGGCUUAACACAUGCAAGUCGAGCGGGGGGAGGUAGCUUGCUACCGGACCUAGCGGCGGACGGGUGAGUAAUGCUUAGGAAUCUGCCUAUUAGUGGGGGACAACAUCUCGAAAGGGAUGCUAAUACCGCAUACGUCCUACGGGAGAAAGCAGGGGAUCUUCGGACCUUGCGCUAAUAGAUGAGCCUAAGGCGGAUUAGCUAGUUGGUGGGGUAAAGGCCUACCAAGGCGACGAUCUGUAGCGGGUCUGAGAGGAUGAUCCGCCACACUGGGACUGAGACACGGCCCAGACUCCUACGGGAGGCAGCAGUGGGGAAUAUUGGACAAUGGGGGGAACCCUGAUCCAGCCGUGCCGCGUGUGUGAAGAAGGCCUUAUGGUUGUAAAGCACUUUAAGCGAGGAGGAGGCUACUUUAGUUAAUACCUAGAGAUAGUGGACGUUACUCGCAGAAUAAGCACCGGCUAACUCUGUGCCAGCCGCCGCGGUAA